ACGUCAUUCGAUUUGUUUGGUUCCAUGAUAAACAAAAUAUAAGCAGCAGUGUACGAAUUGGCCACGGGAACCGAAGUUAAACUCCGAAAUAUGGGAAACCGAAUCUUUCCAGGCACGGAUGGUACAAGCGGUGGCUUAUACAAACGAGACCAACUACUGUGGUAACGAACAGUACCGUUAAAAAUAUCGAACACAACGGUCUCCUCACAACAACGGUGGCACUCAUACCGUACCAGUACAGCCCCUACUACGUCCGAAAUCGCAAUUGCAUAUAUCGUAUAGCCGUACGAUACUGUAGUGCUCUGUUAUUGCUGCCAAUAAUGCCAACCAACCAAUGCCAUUGAUGAAGUGGAUAGUCGGGUUAAAAUGCCAUCAGUAGCAGUUGAUAUAAUACGAAACUUUACUAUUCCGGUCUAAUUAGUCGUCAAGUCUGAAAAAUUGUGAUUGUUAACUUCUAAAUACAACCGGUAUUUUCAAGACGCUGUAAUCUGCCGCGACAGCACAUGCGGAUAAAUUGAUUUAGCCUGAAGAAUGGAACAAGCUUGCUCGAUUCUGGAGAUUGUAGGUAACAUUCAAAAUCAGAGAACCGACGUAGGUAAAAUUCUACAGGAAUCUGUGGGUAGUACACAAAGUUAUUCGGUUAUAUGAAGAAACGUUUUUCAUGGCAAAUAUAUUUUUCGAUGAUACGCAAGACGAAACUGAAUUUAGAAAAAUUCGUUGGUAUAGGAGACAUUUGAGGGAUCGGUCUAACCUGCUCGACCUACCGGAGGAACAGUAAGUAGUGUUGCAUAUUCUUUAAAUUCUCCGACACUAUCGCAACGUUUGCUAUUUUAGCUUUCUACAGCGCUAUCGCGUGAGCAAAGAUGUUUUCGUGUAUUUACUACGUGAACUUAAGUUCACAACUGGAUACAAGUGCACGUUCAUUCCACAUAUUCUCCAACUUGCUAUUACACUUCAGCUCUUAGGUGGAGGCGCGUACCAGUGGCAAGUGGGGACCAAUUUCAUAUCUCCUGUGGCCCAAUGCACUGUGUUUAAAAAAAAAUGGAAGAAUCACUUUGCCGUCGCUGGAUACAAUUCAAAUUUAGUGGUAGAACACAGGAAUAUUUUAUGCCAAACUGCAACAUUCCUGGUGUGAUUUGAUGUAUAGACGGAACACACAUCACGUGUCUGCGUCCUCCACAAGAUUAAUACAUGUUCUUUAAUAAGAAUGGAAAACACAACAUUAGUGCAAUGGUUGUAAGCAGUUCGAAAAUAAAUAUUUGCCAUUGUUUCUUGAUUUAUACAUUGUAUUUUUAAUACACGUUUUAAUCAUUUAGAUAUGCAACGAGA